AGAGUUUGAUCCUGGCUCAGAAUCAACGCUGGCGGCGUGCCUAACACAUGCAAGUCGAACGCGAAAACCCCGCAAGGGGUUAGUAGAGUGGCAAACGGGUGAGUAACGCGUGGGUGACCUGCCUUCGAGUGGGGGAUAACCUUCCGAAAGGAGGGCUAAUACCGCAUGACAUUCCGUGUUUGGAUACAUGGAAAUCAAAGCCGGGGAUCGCAAGACCUGGCGCUUGAAGAGGGACCUGCGUCCGAUUAGCUAGUUGGUGGGGUAACGGCUCACCAAGGCUCCGAUCGGUAUCCGGCCUGAGAGGGCGGACGGACACACUGGAACUGAGACACGGUCCAGACUCCUACGGGAGGCAGCAGUGGGGAAUUGUUCGCAAUGGGCGCAAGCCUGACGACGCAACGCCGCGUGGAGGAUGAAGACCUUCGGGUCGUAAACUCCUUUCGACCGAGAUGAAUUCCCGCCGACCUAACACGUCGGCGGGGUGACAGUAUCGAGGGAAGCAGCCCCGGCUAACUCCGUGCCAGCAGCCGCGGUAAUACGGGGGGGGCAAGCGUUGUUCGGAAUUACUGGGCGUAAAGGGUUCGUAGGUGGCCGGCUAAGUCAGACGUGAAAUCCCUCAGCUUAACUGGGGAACUGCGUCUGAGACUGGUCGGCUCGAGGGCAGGAGAGGAACGCGGAAUUCCAGGUGUAGCGGUGAAAUGCGUAGAUAUCUGGAGGAACACCGGUGGCGAAGGCGGCGUUCUGGACUGCAUCUGACACUGAGGAACGAAAGCCAGGGGAGCAAACGGGAUUAGAUACCC
rnacentral:rRNA from 1 species